GUCGAGGGGUAGGGCACUUCGGUGCUUGAGACCGGCGCACGGGUGCGUAACGCGUAUGCAAUCUGCCUUCCACAGAGGGAUAGCCCAGAGAAAUUUGGAUUAAUACCUCAUAGCAUCAUGACCCGGCAUCGGGAUAUGAUUAAAGUCACAACGGUGGAAGAUGAGCAUGCGUCCCAUUAGCUAGUUGGUAAGGUAACGGCUUACCAAGGCAACGAUGGGUAGGGGUCCUGAGAGGGAGAUCCCCCACACUGGUACUGAGACACGGACCAGACUCCUACGGGAGGCAGCAGUGAGGAAUAUUGGUCAAUGGGCGCAAGCCUGAACCAGCCAUGCCGCGUGCAGGAUGACGGUCCUAUGGAUUGUAAACUGCUUUUGUACGGGAAGAAACACUCCGACGUGUCGGAGCUUGACGGUACCGUAAGAAUAAGGAUCGGCUAACUCCGUGCCAGCAGCCGCGGUAAUACGGAGGAUCCAAGCGUUAUCCGGAAUCAUUGGGUUUAAAGGGUCCGUAGGCGGUCUUGUAAGUCAGUGGUGAAAGCCCAUCGCUCAACGGUGGAACGGCCAUUGAUACUGCAGGACUUGAAUUAUUGGGAAGUAACUAGAAUAUGUAGUGUAGCGGUGAAAUGCUUAGAGAUUACAUGGAAUACCAAUUGCGAAGGCAGGUUACUACCAGUGGAUUGACGCUGAUGG
rnacentral:rRNA from 1 species